rnacentral:rRNA from 1 species
AUGUGUGUCCCAAAAAGCCAAGGCGGAAUGGGCUUUCGUGACAUUCAUUGCUUUAAUUUGGCGAUGUUGGCUAAACAAGCUUGGCGUCUCCUUGAGAACCUAAAUUCCUUGUGUGCCACCAUUUUGCGAGCUAAGUAUUUCCCUGAUGGAGAUUUAUUGAACGCAAAGUUAAAAAAGGGAUCAUCCUUCACAUGGCAAAGUAUUAUGGCGGGGGGUUAA